AAUUGUUAAAGGGACACUAUAGUCACCUGAACAACUUUAGCUUAAUGAAGCAGUUUUGGUGUAUAGAACAUGCCCCUGCAGCCUCACUGCUCAAUCCUCUGCCAUUUAGGAGUUAAAUCCCUUUGUUUAUGAACCCUAGUCACACCUCCCUGCAUGUGACUUGCACAGCCUUCCAUAAACACUUCCUGUAAAGAGAGCCCUAUUUAGGCUUUCUUUAUUGCAAGUUCUGUUUAAUUAAGAUUUUCUUAUCCCCUGCUAUGUUAAUAGCUUGCUAGACCCUGCAAGAGCCUCCUGUAUGUGAUUAAAGUUCAAUUUAGAGAUUGAGAUACAAUUAUUUAAGGUAAAUUACAUCUGUUUGAAAGUGAAACCAGUUUUUUGUUUUUUUCAUGCAGGCUCUGUCAAUCAUAGCCAGGGGAGGUGUGGCUAGGGCUGCUUAAACAGUAACAAAGUGAUUUAACUCCUAAAUGAC